CCUACGGGAGGCUGCAGUGGGGAAUUUUGGACAAUGGGCGCAAGCCUGAUCCAGCUAUUCCGCGUGUGGGAAGACGGCCUUCGGGUUGUAAACCACUUUUGUAGAGAACGAAAAGUCUGUUGAUAAUACCGAUAGAUGAUGACGGUACUCUAAGAAUAAGCACCGGCUAACUACGUGCCAGCAGCCGCGGUAAUACGUAGGGUGCGAGCGUUAAUCGGAAUUACUGGGCGUAAAGGGUGUGCAGGCGGUUUUGCAAGAUGGAUGUGAAAGCCCCGGGCUUAACCUGGGAAAGCCAUACAUGACUGCAAGACUAGAGUGCGUCAGAGGGGGGUGGAAUUCCAAGUGGAGCAGUGAAAUGCGUAGAUAUUUGGAAGAACACCGAUGGCGAAGGCAGCCCCCUGGGACGCAACUGACGCUCAUACACGAAAGCGUGGGGAGCAAACAGGAUUAGAUACCCCUGUAGUC
rnacentral:rRNA from 1 species